rnacentral:rRNA from 1 species
CUUAAGCCAUGCAAGUCUCAGUACGAGCUGACUUAAAGUGAAACCGCAAAGGGCUCAGUAAACCGGUCAUAGUUUACCGGAUAUAUGCCACUCACGUGGAUAACUGUGGUAAUUCUAGAGCUAAUACAUGCAAACAAGUCCCGACCAGCGAUGGAGAGGACGCUUUUAUUGGAUCAAAACCAUUCGCCCGAGCGAUCGGGCGUCGGCUUGAUGACUCUAGAUAACACCACAGAUCGCACGGUCAUAGUACCGGUGACGUAUCCUUCAAAUGUCUGACUUAUCAGCUGUCGAUGGUAGACUCUGUGUCUACCAUGGCGCUCACGGGUGACGGGGAAUCAGGGUUCGAUUCCGGAGAGGGAGCCUGAGAAACGGCUACCACAUCCAAGGAAGGCAGCAGGCACGCAAAUUACCCACUCCCGGCACGGGGAGGUAGUGACAAAAAAUAACGAUACGGGACUCAUCCGAGGCCCCGUAAUCGGAAUGAGAACACCCUAAAUCCUUUAACGAGGAUCUAUUGGAGGGCAAGUCCGGUGCCAGCAGCCGCGGUAAUUCCGGCUCCAAUAGCGUAUAUUAAAGUUGUUGCGGUUAAAAAGCUCGUAGUUGGUUCUGCGUGCCGCGCUGUCGGUUCACCGCCUGCCGGUGCAACUGGCAUGCCGCGGCAUGUCCUGUCGGUGGCGGACAGGCUUCCCGGCGUGCCCUACGCGUUUAACAGCGUGUAGGCCGCCGCGCCGGGUUGUCCUUGAACGCCGGCUCAAUCCUACCGCGGUGCUCUUUACCGAGUGUCGAGGUAGGCCGACACUGUUUACUUUGAACAAAUUAGAGUGCUUAAAGCAGGCUCUUAAAUCAGCCUGAAUAGUGGUGCAUGGAAAUAAUGGAACAGGACCUUUGCUUCUAUUUUGUUGGGUUUUCGGAAUCCAAGGUAAUGAUCAAUAA